GGGUUGUGAGGUUAAGCGACUAAGCGUACACGGUGGAUGCCCUGGCAGUCAGAGGCGAUGAAGGACGUGCUAAUCUGCGAAAAGCGUCGGUAAGGUGAUAUGAACCGUUAUAACCGGCGAUGUCCGAAUGGGGAAACCCAGUGCAAUUCGUUGCACUAUCGUUAACUGAAUACAUAGGUUAACGAGGCGAACCGGGGGAACUGAAACAUCUAAGUACCCCGAGGAAAAGAAAUCAACCGAGAUUCCCCCAGUAGCGGCGAGCGAACGGGGAGCAGCCCAGAGUCUGAAUCAGCUUGUGUGUUAGUGGAACGGUCUGGAAAGUCCGACGGUACAGGGUGAUAGUCCCGUACACCAAAAUGCACAGGCUGUGAACUCGAAGAGUAGGGCGGGACACGUGGUAUCCUGUCUGAAUAUGGGGGGACCAUCCUCCAAGGCUAAAUACUCCUGACUGACCGAUAGUGAACCAGUACCGUGAGGGAAAGGCGAAAAGAACCCCGGCGAGGGGAGUGAAAAAGAACCUGAAACCGUGUACGUACAAGCAGUGGGAGCACCUUCGGGUGUGACUGCGUACCUUUUGUAUAAUGGGUCAGCGACUUAUAUUCUGUAGCAAGGUUAACCGUAUAGGGGAGCCGCAGGGAAACCGAGUCUUAACUGGGCGUUAAGUUGCAGGGUAUAGACCCGAAACCCGGUGAUCUAGCCAUGGGCAGGUUGAAGGUUGGGUAACACUAACUGGAGGACCGAACCGACUAAUGUUGAAAAAUUAGCGGAUGACUUGUGGCUGGGGGUGAAAGGCCAAUCAAACCGGGAGAUAGCUGGUUCUCCCCGAAAGCUAUUUAGGUAGCGCCUCGUGAAUUCAUCUUCGGGGGUAGAGCACUGUUUCGGCUAGGGGGUCAUCCCGACUUACCAACCCGAUGCAAACUACGAAUACCGAAGAAUGUUAUCACGGGAGACACACGGCGGGUGCUAACGUCCGUCGUGAAGAGGGAAACAACCCAGACCGCCAGCUAAGGUCCCAAAGUCAUGGUUAAGUGGGAAACGAUGUGGGAAGGCACAGACAGCCAGGAUGUUGGCUUAGAAGCAGCCAUCAUUUAAAGAAAGCGUAAUAGCUCACUGGUCGAGUCGGCCUGCGCGGAAGAUGUAACGGGGCUAAACCAUGCACCGAAGCUGCGGCAGCGACACUAUGUGUUGUUGGGUAGGGGAGCGUUCUGUAAGCCUGCGAAGGUGACCUGUGAGGGUUGCUGGAGGUAUCAGAAGUGCGAAUGCUGACAUAAGUAACGAUAAAGCGGGUGAAAAGCCCGCUCGCCGGAAGACCAAGGGUUCCUGUCCAACGUUAAUCGGGGCAGGGUGAGUCGACCCCUAAGGCGAGGCCGAAAGGCGUAGUCGAUGGGAAACAGGUUAAUAUUCCUGUACUUGGUGUUACUGCGAAGGGGGGACGGAGAAGGCUAUGUUAGCCGGGCGACGGUUGUCCCGGUUUAAGCAUGUAGGCUGGUUAUCCAGGCAAAUCCGGAUAAUCAAGGCUGAGGUGUGAUGACGAGGCACUACGGUGCUGAAGUAACAAAUGCCCUGCUUCCAGGAAAAGCCUCUAAGCAUCAGGUAACAUUAAAUCGUACCCCAAACCGACACAGGUGGUCAGGUAGAGAAUACCAAGGCGCUUGAGAGAACUCGGGUGAAGGAACUAGGCAAAAUGGUGCCGUAACUUCGGGAGAAGGCACGCUGGUGUGUAGGUGAAGUCCCUGCGGAUGGAGCUGAGACCAGUCGAAGAUACCAGCUGGCUGCAACUGUUUAUUAAAAACACAGCACUGUGCAAACACGAAAGUGGACGUAUACGGUGUGACGCCUGCCCGGUGCCGGAAGGUUAAUUGAUGGGGUUAUCCGUAAGGAGAAGCUCUUGAUCGAAGCCCCGGUAAACGGCGGCCGUAACUAUAACGGUCCUAAGGUAGCGAAAUUCCUUGUCGGGUAAGUUCCGACCUGCACGAAUGGCGUAAUGAUGGCCAGGCUGUCUCCACCCGAGACUCAGUGAAAUUGAACUCGCUGUGAAGAUGCAGUGUACCCGCGGCAAGACGGAAAGACCCCGUGAACCUUUACUAUAGCUUGACACUGAACAUUGAGCCUUGAUGUGUAGGAUAGGUGGGAGGCUUUGAAGCGUGGACGCCAGUCUGCGUGGAGCCAACCUUGAAAUACCACCCUUUAAUGUUUGAUGUUCUAACGUUGGCCCCUGACCGGGGUUGCGGACAGUGUCUGGUGGGUAGUUUGACUGGGGCGGUCUCCUCCCAAAGCGUAACGGAGGAGCACGAAGGUUAGCUAAUCCUGGUCGGACAUCAGGAGGUUAGUGCAAUGGCAUAAGCUAGCUUGACUGCGAGCGUGACGGCGCGAGCAGGUGCGAAAGCAGGUCAUAGUGAUCCGGUGGUUCUGAAUGGAAGGGCCAUCGCUCAACGGAUAAAAGGUACUCCGGGGAUAACAGGCUGAUACCGCCCAAGAGUUCAUAUCGACGGCGGUGUUUGGCACCUCGAUGUCGGCUCAUCACAUCCUGGGGCUGAAGUAGGUCCCAAGGGUAUGGCUGUUCGCCAUUUAAAGUGGUACGCGAGCUGGGUUUAGAACGUCGUGAGACAGUUCGGUCCCUAUCUGCCGUGGGCGCUGGAGAAUUGAGGGGGGCUGCUCCUAGUACGAGAGGACCGGAGUGGACGCAUCACUGGUGUUCGGGUUGUCAUGCCAAUGGCACUGCCCGGUAGCUAAAUGCGGAAGAGAUAAGUGCUGAAAGCAUCUAAGCACGAAACUUGCCCCGAGAUGAGUUCUCCCUGAGACUUUAAGUCUCCUGAAGGAACGUUAAAGACGAUGACGUUGAUAGGCCGGGUGUGUAAGCGCAGCGAUGCGUUGAGCUAACCGGUACUAAUGAACCGUGAGGCUUAACCUUACAACGCCGAAG
rnacentral:rRNA from 1 species